ACGCUCGACACCUACGGGAGGCAGCAGUGGGGAAUAUUGCACAAUGGGGGAAACCCUGAUGCAGCAACGCCGCGUGAAGGAAGACGGUUUUUCGGAUUGUAAACUUCUGUUCUUAGUGAAGAUAGUGACGGUAGCUAAGGAGCAAGCCACGGCUAACUACGUGCCAACAGCCGCGGUAAUCUGAGCGGCUGCAAGGC
rnacentral:rRNA from 1 species